GAUUUCUGGCCUGAUGUGCCUGGCCCGCCAGCGUUAGCUGUGUGAGUGUCGGGACGCGUCUGCCAUCCUUCUAGUGCACGUUUCUACUCUUCAUUGAGCCGGAGACGGUUUGUCACUAGAUCUUUUACUUUGAAAAAAUUAGAGUGUUUAAAGCAGGCUUUUGCUAUGAAUACAUUAGCAUGGAAUAAUAAUCUAGGACUUCGGUUCUAUUUUGUUGGUUUCUAGAACUGAAGUAAUGAUUGAUAGGGAUAGUUGGGGGUGCUAGUAUUCAGCGGCCAGAGGUGAAAUUCUCGGAUUCGCUGAAGACUAACUUAUGCGAAAGCAUU
rnacentral:rRNA from 1 species